rnacentral:rRNA from 1 species
UACAGAGGGUGCAAACGUUGCUCGGAAUUACUGGGCGUAAAGCGCACGUAGGCGGUCCGAUAAGUCGGAUGUGAAAUCCCCAGGCUCAACUUGGGAAGUGCAUUCGAAACUGUCGGUCUUGAAUAUGGAAGAGGGUCGCGGAAUUCCCGGUGUAGAGGUGAAAUUCGUAGAUAUCGGGAGGAACACCAGUGGCGAAGGCGGCGACCUGGGCCAAUAUUGACGCUGAGGUGCGAAAGCGUGGGGAGCAAACAGG